rnacentral:rRNA from 1 species
GAUGAACGCUAGCGGCAGGCUUAACACAUGCAAGUCGAGGGGCAGCAUGACGGAACCUUCGGGUUUUGUUGAUGGCGACCGGCGCAAGGGUGCGUAACGCGUGAGCAACUUGCCCGUUUCAGGGGGAUAACCGGUGGAAACGCCGACUAAUACCCCAUGGCAUCAUAUUAAGGCAUCUUUAUAUGAUUAAAGAAUUUCGGAAACGGAUAGGCUCGCGUGACAUUAGCUAGAUGGCGGGUAACGGCCCACCAUGGCGACGAUGUCUAGGGGUUCUGAGAGGAAGGUCCCCCACACUGGAACUGAGACACGGUCCAGACUCCUACGGGAGCAGCAGUGAGGAUAUUGGUCAAUGGUCUGACGACUGAACCAGCCAUGCCGCGUGAAGGUCACGGCCCUAUGGGUCUUAAACGUCUUUUGCAAGGGAGCAAUAAGCCUCACGUGUGGGGCGAUGAGAGUACCUUGCGAAUAAGCAUCGGCUAACUCCGUGCCAG